UAUUAUUUAUUCCUUCUAUAAAAAGUGACACAUAUCUAUAUUAGAGACAGUUUAACUUAAAAUUUGCCAUUUCAAGGACCAUCAAUGAGAACCUUUUACAGUCAUGCAAUUGUUAAGACAUAUUUGACUGCAAGUUACAAAAAUCUUAUACAACUAUACAAAUCUUAUAACAUGUUUAAGACGACAAUCUUCAAAAGUAAUCAUUUCCUUCUUAAGCACCAUGUCGAAAUACCCCACCUCCCAUACCAUUAACAAAUCACUUUUUUGGUUUUAAUAUACAUGGUAGGACUGCAUGCCACACCUCCCAACAGCACAAACCAGUAUAGCUUGUUCGUUGGCUUUUAUUAACAAUAAUAUAAGAGAAAGAGACCGAGCUGAUGUGGUAAUUAAUGGGUUCCAACUUUUCCGCCAAAGGAAGGAGAAAAUUCAAUGUUGACAUCUAAGAAAAUUUGAAAAAUAAUACCUUUUAGAUAAUACAAGAUAUUGAGAGCCUAAGUGUGGGUAGGAUUAAGAGAAAGCAACAGGGCAGCUCUCCUAUAGCAUGUCAGCUUAAAUAUAGGAUAAAUUAGUGGAGUAGUCACUAUAUAUAUAUAUAACUGUAUGCCAAUUGACAGUAGCCCUAUCACUAUUUCCCUUAUUGUCAUUCACAAAAUCUUUUCUUUACUCCCCAUCUUUCUGCUUCUGGUUCAUCACAACAGAGCCUUCCAUGCUUUUAUAGAGCAUCCUUCUCUCAUUAAAAGACGGUAUAAACCAAUUGAGUAGCGGCAUAUCCUGUGACUUUUUGUGCUAGCUGUGGCCUGUGGAUAUCUAAUUGCAUUAGGGGAUUAAAUAUUCUAGGAUCCGAAAAUGAGGUAACUUACUCGUCCCUUUACAAUUCAAUUCAUGAAAGCAACUCCUCUAUAAUAUAUUUUCAUCAGAUUCCCUCAGAUAAAAGGAACUGAAAGCAGAUGCUGCAUGAUUUUAUGCCUUUGGAAUGUGUG
rnacentral:lncRNA from 1 species